rnacentral:lncRNA from 1 species
ACUGCAGGAUUAAUGUAGGCUGACCACUGCAGCAGUGUUUAUUAUACAAUCUGCUUGAGCCUUUCAUCAUGUCAAAGAGUUUUUAAAUGAAAUCAUGAAGUAGUGUCUAGAAAUUACCUAAAUCCCUCCAAAGAAGAGCAAUUUUUGUGG